rnacentral:rRNA from 1 species
CUGCGCAUUUCACCGCUACACCAGGAAUUCCGAUCUCCCCUACCGAACUBUAGCCUGCCCGUAUCGAAUGCAGACCCGGGGUUAAGCCCCGGGCUUUCACAUCCGACGUGACAAGCCGCCUACGAGCUCUUUACGCCCAAUAAUUCCGGACAACGCUCGCACCCUACGUAUUACCGCGGCUGCUGGCACGUAGUUAGCCGGUGCUUCUUCUGCAGGUACCGUCACUUUCGCGUCUUCCCUGCUGAAAGAGGUUUACAACCCGAAGGCCGUCAUCCCUCACGCGGCGUCGCUGCAUCAGGCUUUCGCCCAUUGUGCAAUAUUCCCCACUGCUGCCUCCCGUAGGAGUCUGGGCCGUGUCUCAGUCCCAGUGUGGCCGGUCGCCCUCUCAGGCCGGCUACCCGUCGUCGCCUUGGUAGGCCGUCACCCCACCAACAAGCUGAUAGGCCGCGGGCUCAUC